rnacentral:lncRNA from 10 species
CAGCAUGACAAGCCAGCAGGGCCACCCUGAAUAGGGACAGAGUCUCCGAGUUCUUCAGAGACACCCAAAGGAAUAAAAUGAAAACGCAAGGACUCCCACCUAAGGUGUUUGUUGAGCUACUUGACAGAGUCAUCCAUGCAGCCUUCCGCUGGCAGUAGAACUCUCCCCAGAGCUCAGGUGGGGCCAGAACUCAGCCCCACCUCUGCCCGGCCGCAGAUGCUUCCUUCUGGUUUUCCACCAUGGUAUCCACAACACCCCCUUCCUUCCUGCUUUUCCUGCCCUGACUUUCUCCUCUGUCAGCCUCCUUCCCUUUCUCUUCUUUCAGCAGCUGAGAACCGGCUUCCAGUGCAGGUCUUUGUAAACGAUUGUUUGAGUUGCUGAAUUAAGACAAACCUGAUGGAUGGAGCUACCAUAUACAGGAACGAGAAGAAGGAGGAAAUGUGUUCUCCCAACCACUGCCACCUCUACUGCAAGAUGGAAUAUAUAGAAUAUUUCUAACUUUAGCCACAAACCCCAUGAUGCUUAAAAUAUGAGUGGAUUAAAAUAGGAUGGGAAGGAAACUCCCAGAAGAAUGGAGAGAGACGUCAGAAGAGCAGUUAACCUUAGGGAGGAGGGGGCAGUGACUGGGGAGGGAGAUGACUGGAACUCCUGGAGGGCUGAGAGUGCUCUGCUCUUUCAUCUGGGUGCUAGUACAUGGGUGUGCUCACUUUAUGAAAAUCUGCUGAGUCGUAUGCUUUCGACUUGUGCACUUUUCUGCAUUUUAUAUUUUACUUCAAUGAAGUUAACACACGCACAUGCAUAUUACAAGGAAAGGUAUGGUGUUUAAGUGCAUGGACUCUAGCGCUGAAUCUAUUUAAAAGCUCCACGGCCCUGGGCAAGUUACUAAACCUCUCUGUUAACUCAGUUUUCUCACUUGUACAAUGGGUAUGAUUAUAUAUAUAAUAUAUGGUUUUAUAUAUAUAUGUGUUAUACAUAUAUAUAUAUAUAUA